rnacentral:lncRNA from 1 species
GUGAGCCACUGCACCCCGGGUCAUUCCUCUUUUACUUCCUUGCUGUACCCCAACUAUCCUUCCCCCUCGGUGCCCUUAAAACCUUUGCAUUGGGACUUAACGGUAAUAGAAUGGCAUUCCUCACUGCCUCCGAACCACUCAAGCUGCUGCCCAUGCACUCUCUUCUGCAUGGCUCCUGGACUAAGCAGCCUCCCUUUGAUUAAGCAGAGACAAGAAUCUCACUCUGUCAUCUGUGGCAAGAUCAUCUUACUGAGGCCUCAAACUCCCGGGCUCCAGCGAUCCCCCUCGGGCCUCUCAGCCUCCUGCGUAGCUAGAACUACAGGAAUGUG